GGAGUCAUGUAAGAUUCAAAGGCUAUGGGCCAAGCUCAAAUGCGUGCCAUAUGGAACCAAUCGAUCAUAUGAGAUGAGGGAGAAAAAAAAGUGGAAGCUUCAUAAAAGGUUCAUUUGACAUCCUCAUUUCUCUCUCUUCUUAUCUCUCUUUAAAACGCUCUCUCAAACUCCCCUCCAUCCCUAACUUUCUGACCACCGUCCCAACCCUAAGACACCACAAAACCACCUUGAGCCUCCUUCUAAUCCUAAUUCCGAUCAUAUUCUCCGGCCUAAACACCAUUUUCAAAACCUAGCUCCGACAUCAAGUAUUUCCAACAAAUAAGCGCAAAGGGAGAAAAAUGUUACCACUCUAGAUGUUCCUGGAGGAUCGAUCCACACAAUAUGUAUAUGUGCAUGUGGUGAAGGGAUGACAAGCAUAAUGAUGAGGAGGCUUGGCUCGGUUUUGACAUGGAAUUGACUCAAGUGUCUUGGCUUAAGGGCAACUUGGAGAUGAUGGCUUAGCAUGAUGGAAAGCUGAAGCAUGAGGAUAGUUGGAAGAUAUUGUUGAUGAGACCCGAAGGUUGAAAUGAGAUGGUUUGGCUUAGCUUGCACAAAGGCUUGGAGCUGAAGCAUGAUGAGGUAAUCCUUCUAUUUUGUUUUUGGCUUUUCUGAAAUUGAGUAAAUGUAAUAUGUAUGUAUAUAGGUGAUAGGUAGGGUAUGAUGUAGUGUAAAUGAGUAAAAAACGUGUACCGAAUACUAAUGAAUUAAAAUGGAAUAUCUGUAUGGAGAAUGAGAUAUAAUGUAACAAAACAUUUAUUUAAUAAAUUUCAUUUUUUAUUUCAGAUUGAUUCUAGCUUUGUCUUACUUAAAUAUACUUAAAGUACUUAAAUAAAACAAAAACCACAAAACAAAUUGAAAUUAAUAACUAUAAAGUAGAGUUCAUUAAUAAAUAAAAGAUCAAAGUCAAAAGUUAACUCUGAGACUUUUGACUUAUUCUCCAAUAUAUAUUAAUGAGAGGCUAAAAGUGAUGCAAAUAAAAAACAAUGCAAAUGAACUAGCAACAAAGUUAACAUAGUCAAUCUUUGACUUCUGACUUUCAUUCCAAAAAUAUGUUGAUGAUUGACAAUUAUGCAGAUGAAUUAUGAAUAGGGAACCAAAUGAAUUAUGAAUAGGGAACCAAAUGCAAAGUAGUCAAACUCUUGGACUCUUUACUUCUAAUUCUCAAACAUAAAUGACAGUCAAAAUUUAUAAAGAAACAGAUGAAAUUAGUACUCUUGACUAUUCAUCCAUCUGGAUCUCUAAGACUUGAUGCAACAAAAUAGUACCCUAGGACAUCAAAAUUAGAUGAUGUGCCAAACUCCUGACUUUUCAUCUAAACCCAGAUGAAUGUUUUUUAUUGAUGAAAUGUAUGAUCAAAUGGAAUGAUCAUGCUAUGCUAAUGCAGGUAAAAAAAACUCGGUAAAAUUUAGGGUCUGACAUUCUCUAAAAUGACACUCACUCCAAUCAUUGUUCUUACCGCAUCUUUGAGAUGAAUCGGUAACUAAUCCAUUAUCAACAUGUGGUUCAAUGACAAAAUAUCACCAUAAUGAUGUGUUAAUGUUAUUUACACUCAACGACAAAAGCUCAACAUAACUUAUAUAUAUAUAUAUAUAUAUAUAUAUAUUGAUAAGUCAUUCCAAUGUAUUAAUUUAUCGUAGCAAAAACAAUGAAUAACACAAUCCAACAAAAACACAAGUUUGAUUCAAGCAGUGAUGAUGUAGUUAUUUUUGAUGGCUUACCAUAUCAAUGCUCAUAGUCUAGAGAUUGAAUUUGAAUUUCACAAUGAAGCAUCACUCUCUCAAGCUACAGCUAUAACUCUGAUAAAACAAAAAGAUCAAAAUAAUUAGACUGUAUUUGUUGUUUAAGGACUCAAUGGUGAGGUUGUUUAAUUUUGAACGGGUUAGGCUUAAACCCUAAAAUUAAAUACUACCUCCAAAACUCUGAACAAAACCUCACCUGUUACUUUCCAUUCUGUCUCCCAUGUUUGGUUUCUUUCCUCUCUGCAAAAGAAACUCCAUGGAUAACAUCGAAGCUUUUUCCUGCACUCUUAAAAUGACGAAUCAAAACAUGAUCCCUACAUGAUUUCUUAUCCCAUCGCAAUUCUAAAUUAAGAAUAUGGUUUCUUCAAUAGCAUUUUGUUUUGUCAUUUUACUAUUUGUAUCUGUAUCUAUCAAUGCCUUUUACAAACUCGUUUUGUCAAUGAUCUGGACUCCGACAUUCUGUCACAAUCUGCGACAGACUAGCCGGCCGCUGUGUGUUCGUGAAGAAAAAGAGGACAACAUGACUAUACAUGGAUUAUGGCCCUACAAUGAUGGGGCCGCAACCACACAAUUGUCUUCCAACAUCUAAAGUCGAAAGAUAUUUGUUCCAAGAAAAAAAAAACAGAAAGAGACUUUUGCUUUCUCUAUUUUCAAAAAUAACAUCAUUCUAAUCAUUAUUUAUAUUAUUAUAUUGUUAGAAUCCAUCCUCUUUCGAAAAUGGAAGAGUGCUUGUCUGCAUAUACUAAGGAAGACACAACAUUCUGGGAAUACAGGUGGAAUUAUCAUGGAGUUGUGCGAACCUUAGUAAUAUCAGAUACAUAAACCUUGUCAUUCAUAUUUAUAUAAUUCAUGGCAUUUUUUGAGUAUUACAUCGGGCUGGAAUCGAACCGAUCCACGAGAGUUUACCAGCUCAGUAGCACUCCCGAGAGUCUUUCAUAAAUGCUAUAAAAAUUCAUCAUCAUGGUGUAAUUCUUUAUCCUGAAUUAAUUUGUUCGAGAAACGAAGAAUUGCGUGAAAUUCAAUUUUGCAAAAGGUGAACGAUGAAGACUAGGUUAACUGCACCAUAAAAGGUAGUUGCAAUUAUUGAUUUCAACUUUUAACCUAUUUCAGCAAUACUCCCCUUCGCCUCAAGGAAUCUUGAUCCGGGAGUAUGUGUUUCGGGAGUACGUGUUGCUGGUCAUAGCAGUUGCAGUUCCGCUGGUCGUGAGAGUAGCAGCGGUCGCAGUUCCUAAGUUAUCAAUGAAAUGUUCAGGUGUUUGACAAAUUAACAAGUGAUGUUAAAUGUAAUGGAAAUAGUAGUGUUAUUAAGGAAGGGCGCAAAAGUUUCCCAAGUGGGCAUACAUCUUGUUACUUUGUCAAAACACUGAACAUUUCAUUGAUAACUUAGGAACUGCGACCGCUGCUGCUGCCACGACCGGCAGAACUGCUGUUACUGCCAUGACUUGCGGCACAAACUCCCGAAUGCAUUGCUGGAAUAGGUUAAAAGUUGAAAUCGAUCAUUGCAACUACUUUUAUGGUGCAGUUAACCUAGUCUUCACCGUUCUCACUUUUGCAAAAUCGGAUUUCACGCAAUUCUUCGCUUAUCGGACAAAUUAAUUUAGGCUAAAGAAUUACACUCUGAUGAUGAUUUUUUAUAGCAUCUAUGAAAGAUUCUCGGGAGUGAUACUGAGCGGAUAAACUCUCGUCGAUCGUUUCGAUUCCAACCCGCUGUAAUGCGCUGCAAAUGUACAGGAGUAUAUAACUAUCAAUGACAAGGUUUAUGUAUUUGAUCUUAAUAAGGUUCGCACACCUCUCAUGAUAAUUCCACUCGCGUUCACAGAAUAUUGUGUAGUAUAUGUAGGCCAACAAUCUUCCAUUUUAGAAAUCAAAGGGAUGGAAUCGGACAAUUUAAGUUAUGAUAAGAAUAAUGUUAUUUUAGAUGUUGGAAGACAGUUGUGUGGUUGCGGUCACCGAUCAUUAUAGGCACGUGGUCCUCUUUUUUUUUCACGAAUACACAGCGGCAGCGAAGUCUCUUGCAAAUUGUGACAAAAUGUCGGAGUACAGAUCAUUGACAAAAACGAGUUUGUCAAAGGCAUUGACAGAUAUGAAUAGUAAAAUAACAAAGUAAAAUGCUAUUCAAGAAACCAUAUUCUUAUUUUAGAAUCGUUAUGGGAUAAGAAAUCAUGUAGGGCUCGUGUUUUGGUUCGUCAUUUUAAGAGUGCAUAUGAGAAAGCUUCGAUGUUAUUCAUAGAGUUUCUUUUGCAAAGAGGAAAGAAAUGAAACAUGGGAGACGAAAUGGAAAGUAACAAGUGGAGUUUUGUUCAAGGUUUUGGAGUUAGUAUUUAGGGUUUAAGCCUAACCUGUUAUUAUCAAUUGAUUUCAGUUAAAUUUUGAUGGGAUAUGGUUUCACUUUAAUAUUUCAUUCUCAUUUGCUCAUCUCUGAAAAUAUUUAUGAGGUGGCGGGUUUAUAGUUCUUAUUAUUGAUGCCCAAUAUACAAUUCUCAUUAAGCUUCAUAAGUUUUUCUUGACUAGUUAAGUAUAUUGCUUAUGGUUGUAUUUUCAAUGUUUUACUGUCAUCGAUCAUCAUCUAAGGGUCGACCUCGACCCUCUUUCCUUUAUCCUUAACUAUUGAACGGUUCUUUUAGUUUAUUGAACAGUUCUUUUAGUUUAUUGCUACUUCUCAAUUUUCACUGUAUAGAUUUGCUUUUUAUCUUGUAACAAAAUUAUUUUUACUUCAAAUUUCUUGGGAUAAAUUUGCAUAUGGUUUUUCUGUUUGUAAGGUCUUCAUCACAGGCCUUGUAUUUUCUGUAUUUAAAUAUUUGCUAAUUAUUUUAAAUACAAUAAUAUAAAAUUUAACUACAUACAUUGCAUUGCAUGACUACACAUUAUUGCUUUUGUAAAAUACUAAAAAUUGAAACCCACAUUGGUGAUGACUGGGCUAGAAUGGUCAUAGAUCAAUAUGUUCAGCUGAGUGUUUUAUUUUUUUACUUUGCGCUUUUUCUUGAGAACAACAACUUUUAGCACAUUUUCCUGAACUAUUUAUUUAAAUGCUCACCCUGAAAGCUUCACACUAUACCAUGUUUAAGGCUUUUAAUUAUUGUAAAACAUUAAUGAUAAUUGUCAACCAAGAACAAUAUGCUCGUUGAUAAGAUGCUUUCAGUGACCUUUUUUUGUUUGUUUUGGUUACCAGUAUGAAGUUGCAGAAACUCCAAAUCUAUAGAAUAUUGUCCCCGACCAUCUCUAAAAUAUAGUAUCCGCUCUCUGUUAUCAACUAUUUGAAGCUCGUGUCUAUCAUAUAUCCCUUCACAGUUUACUCCACAGAACUGAAAUAAACUCUUUGAGUGUGCUAACAAUGCUGUGCUAUCGCAUUUUUAUUUCUGAAGUAGAAUCGCAGAUUUUUUAUUUCAUAUUUUUUAUUUUCAUUCUGCAAUUAUCAUUUAUGCUUAACAGAUUUUACUUGGCAGGUUGAGUUACACACCAUUUUAAUUACCGUUGGAUUUUGGCUAUCAUAUUUUGUUAAAUACUCGAUUUUUCUAUGUAUUAUUUUCAUCUGCAAAUUUGCCCUGAUAUUUCCUUUAUCUUUAAUUUGAGUACUUUAAGUUGUUUAUUUCUGCAUUUCACUUUUCAUUUCUUGUGGAUUUCCUUUUCAAUUGAUAACUACCUAGUGUCUCAUGGAUAUGCCCAAUGACGAAAGCAUAUAAAGAUAUAUUAAUUAUGGUUGUAUUUUGGCUCUUGUGUUUUUAUUGUCAUCAAUAAAUUUAAUCAUUUUUCCUUUAUCUUUAACUAUUGAAUAAUUCUCAAUUUUCACUAAGUGUAGAUUUGCUUUACCAUCACAGAGAACUAAUAUGCUUGUUCAAUUUCCUUGGGAUAAAUUUGCAUAUGGAAGGAUGGCAAAUUUAUACUCCCUCCGUUCCUUUUUAAGUGUCGUUUUAGAAGAAUUUUUUUGUUCCUAUUUAAGUGUCGUUUUAUAAUUUAAUAUAAUAAUUUGUCAUUUAUACCCUUAUUUUCUCAAUAACUCUACCUCAAAUUUUUCAAUUAGUUAUUGGAAAAAGAGAGUGUAUGAUUGAAUUUAUUUGGAAAGAGAAAAAUAAAUAAGGGUAUAUUAGGAAAAGUAACUAAUAAUCCACUAUCUUGGUUGAAGAGUUUUUUGCUAAAACGACACUUGAAAAGGAACGGAGGGAGUAUUUCUUAUUUUUGGUUGUCCAUCUACACUUCUCAUUUAUGCUUAAUAGUUUUUUCUGACAGGUUACUAAUGGUUGUAUUUCGGCCUUUUUUUGUUAAUCUUAAACUAUUGAUUACAUUCUCAAUUUUCAACAAACACAACUUAUUUUACUUGUUCGAUUUCCUUGGGAUAAAGUUGCAUAUAACCUCUUUCCUGUUUGCCCAAUGAUGAUUUUUCCUUGCUAGACAUGUUACUCUGAAUAUCAUUCACAGCUUUUCCCUCCACACUGCCUUUCUUCCCACUUUCUUCACUUCUAACUAUGCUGCUGCUGAUUCAUAUGUUGUUGUUUUUGUUCCACUUUCUUUUAUUCUUCGUCUUUUCAUUUUCGUUGUUUUGUUCCACUAUUGACAGUGGGUAGAGAUGGUAGAGGUUGUGUGAUCCUUUCUCUUGUGCACAGCCUGAUGGACGGCGAGAGGCUUUUAUGGAUGUUGAAAAAGUACUAGCCUACUAAAUAUCUGAGGGCACUGUUGCUAUCUUGUAUUUGAAUAAUUUUUUCAAUGAUUUCAGUUUUAGUUUUUUAUUUGACAUGUUAUUUUCAUGAAUCAUGACUAACAUACUUCCGUCAAGUAUCUGUUGUCUGUGUAAUUCUAGUUAUAUGUGUUUGCUGCGCAAGUUAGAGAGAAAGGAGGUGGGAAGCUUAUGUGGAUAUGUCUGUAUGUUUAGCUAUGAGAUCUGCGGGCUCUGCAUUUAUUUUUUAUGGCAAUUUUUUAGGACUCUACAAAUGUUAUAAUUUGCUUACAUUUUCAUUACAUGCGUUAUAUUUGCUUACAUGUUAUAAUGAAUAUGGCCCAAAACAGCAACUUUUUUUAUUUAAUCGUACACGCUGUUGUUUUU